rnacentral:rRNA from 1 species
AGAGUUUGAUCCUGGCUCAGGAUGAACGCUGGCGGCGUGCCUAACACAUGCAAGUCGAGCGAUUCUCUUCGGAGAAGAGCGGCGGACGGGUGAGUAACGCGUGGGUAACCUGCCUCAUACACAUGGAUAACAUACCGAAAGGUAUGCUAAUACAAGAUAACAUAAGAGAUUCGCAUGGAUUUCUUAUCAAAGCUCCGGCGGUAUGAGAUGGACCCGCGUCUGAUUAGCUAGUUGGUAAGGUAACGGCUUACCAAGGCGACGAUCAGUAGCCGACCUGAGAGGGUGAUCGGCCACAUUGGAACUGAGACACGGUCCAAACUCCUACGGGAGGCAGCAGUGGGGAAUAUUGCACAAUGGGCGAAAGCCUGAUGCAGCAACGCCGCGUGAGUGAUGAAGGCCUUCGGGUCGUAAAACUCUGUCCUCAAGGAAGAUAAUGACGGUACUUGAGGAGGAAGCCCCGGCUAACUACGUGCCAGCAGCCGCGGUAAUACGUAGGGGGCUAGCGUUAUCCGGAUUUACUGGGCGUAAAGGGUGCGUAGGUGGUUUCUUAAGUCAGGAGUGAAAGGCUACGGCUCAACCGUAGUAAGCUCUUGAAACUGGGAAACUUGAGUGCAGGAGAGGAAAGUGGAAUUCCUAGUGUAGCGGUGAAAUGCGUAGAUAUUAGGAGGAACACCAGUAGCGAAGGCGGCUUUCUGGACUGUAACUGACACUGAGGCACGAAAGCGUGGGGAGCAAACAGGAUUAGAUACCCUGGUAGUCCACGCCGUAAACG